rnacentral:misc_RNA from 1 species
GGAAGGAUCAUUCACACAUUGAGAUCCAAGCUAUAUGCGAUAUUUGGUGGCUUGCCACCAGCUGUCAACUACCUUCGGGAAAGUGACAGCACCCCAUCUUUAAUUCAAUAAAAUAUAAAAUCUUAUAUCUUUUAGCGAUGGAUGUCUUGGCUCCCACCACGAUGAAGGACGCAGCGAAUUGCGAUAAGCAGUGUGAAUUGCAGAAUUCAGUGAAUCACUAGAUGGCUGAACGCGAAUUGCACUCGUGGGUAUUCCUGCGAGUGUGCCUAUUUCAGUGUCCCCAAAUUCACAUCAAAAUUAUUUUGAUGUUCAUUUCAGCAUCACCUUUCACGAGGUAGUUGCUGACGAUUUUUCCAAACUCGAUAUUGCUCGACAACUCAGCGUGGAUUUCAUGCAGAGUGGGCAACGAGUGGAAUUUCAUUUUUUAUCUACGACCUGAAAUUAGGUAAGAUUACCCGCUGAAUUUAAGCAUAUAAUUAAGUGGUGGAAAAGAAACUAACUAGAAUUCCCUUAGUAAUGGCGAAUGAACAGGGAAGAGCUCAAAAUGAAAAUCAACGGCUCGUGCUGUUGAAUUGUAGUCUCAAGAAGUGUUACCAGUAAAGGCGCAGGGAUAAGCCUCUUGGAAAAGAGCAUCUGUGAAGGUGAAAAUCCUGUUCAUGCUCUGCAGACCUUUACGUACGGUACAUUUUCAAUGAGUCGCGUUCCUUGGAAGUGGAGCGCUAAAUGGAAGGUAAAUUUCUUCUAAAGCUAAAUAUUUGUGGGAGACCGAUAGCAAACAAGUACCAUGAGGGAAAGAUGAAAAGGACUUUGGAAAGAGAGUUAAAAGUGCCUGAAAUCGCUAAAAGGGAAGCGAAUAGAACCAAUACAGUCGGUGUAAUUGUUUACCGCAUAAGCGAACAGCCAGCUUAGACCUUACGGCUUUGCUGGUGAUUAGCGAUCGUGGUGGACUGCCUACAUCGACGUUUACAGCAUCAGUUGCUAUGGGAUGAAAACUGGGCAGGAAGGUAGGUCUUCCGGGACUGUUAAGCCUGUCUAUGAUAAUCCUGUGGCGACUGAGGUUGCUGGCCGGGCUACACUUUCGAGGACUCGUGCCAACAGAUGCUGUUUAUGUGGUUCUAUCCGACCCGUCUUGAAACACGGACCAAGGAGUCUAACAUAUGUGCAAGUAUACGGCCUGCAAAGCUGUAUGCGUAAUGAAAGUGAAUGUUAGUAUUUUUGCACUAACGACCGACUUCUUCUCGGAGAGGUUUGAGUAUGAGCAUGUCUGUUAGGACCCGAAAGAUGGUGAACUAUGCCUGAGUAGGGUGAAGCCAGGGGAAACUCUGGUGAAGGCUCGUAGCGAUACUGACGUGCAAAUCGUUCGUCAAACUUGGGUAUAGGGGCGAAAGACUAAUCGAACCAUCUAGUAGCUGGUUCCCUC